UCCCUCUUAGCGCAAUGGUCAUCGCGUUUGGCUACGAACCAAAAGGUUGCAGGUUCGAGUCCUGCAGGGGGAG
rnacentral:tRNA from 1 species